rnacentral:rRNA from 1 species
CCUACGGGGGGCAGCAGUAGGGAAUAUUGGGCAAUGGGCGCAAGCCUGAACCAGCAACGCCGCGUGAAGGAAGAAGGCUUUCGGGUUGGAAACUUCUUUUCGCAGGGACGAAGCAAGUGACGGUACCAGAGGAAUAAGCCACGGCUAACUACGUGCAAGCAGCCGCGGUAAUACGUAGGUGGCAAGCGUUAUCCGGAUUUACUGGGUGUAAAGGGCGUGUAGGCGGGAAAGCAAGUCAGAUGUGAAAACCAUGGGCUCAACCUGUGGCCUGCAUUUGAAACUGUUUUUCUUGAGUACUGGAGAGGCAGACGGAAUUCCUAGUGUAGCGGUGAAAUGCGUAGAUAUUAGGAGGAACACCAGUGGCGAAGGCGGUCUGCUGGACAGCAACUGACGCUGAGGCGCGAAAGCGUGGGGAGCAAACAGGAUUAGAUACCCUUGUAGUC